GUUGGGUAGCUCAAUUGGUACGAGCAUGAGACUCUUAAACUUAGAAAAGAGGGAGGGAUUUGCUGGAUAAGCUUAAUGGGAGUUAUCAUGGUGGAUUCCUUUUCAUCGGUGUCUGGAUUGAUCCUACAAUGACUGAGAGGAAACAAGAAGGAGAUCGAAGUAAUAGGGUUCUGUCUGGAAAGACUGAAUCGUCCAAAUUCGAUGGUUCAGUCUAUAGAGCAGGCAUAGGCAAACUCAGCCCUCCAGAUGUUUUGGGACUACAACUCCCAUCAUCCCUAGCUAACAGGACCAGUGCUCAGGGAUGAUGGGAACUGUAGUCUGAAAACAUCUGGAGGGCCGAGUUUGUCUAUACCUGCUGUAGAGCAUGAGACUCUUCAUCUCAGAGUCAUGGGUUCAAGCCCCAUGUUGGGCU